GAGUUACGAUAAUUACUAUAUUAAUUUAUAAGAUUAUAGUAACUCCUUACUAAGUGGUUUACUGUAACAUUAUGGUAAAUAUCCUCAUGUGUUAUAGUAACCCAACUAUCGUAAAUAUGUAUACAUAUUAUCGUAAAUUAGUAUAUAAAAUUAUCGUGUAUA
rnacentral:pre_miRNA from 1 species